GCGCACCAGUCGCGAAACUUUACAAUGUGCGAAAGCACGAUAAGGGAACUCUGAGUGCCUCCUAAGGAGGCUGUUCUGAUGUCUAAAAGCAACAGAAGUAAGGGCUGGGUAAGACCGGUGCCAGCCGCCGCGGUAACACCGGCAGUCCAAGUGGUAGCCACGUUUAUUGGGUCUAAAGCGCUCGUAGCCGGCCAGGUAAGUUCCUUGGUAAAUUUAGCCGCUUAACGGUUAAGCUUUCGGGGAAUACUGCUUGGCUUGGGACUGGGAGAGGUCAGAGGUACUCCGGGGGUAGGGGUGAAAUCUAUUAAUCCCUGGGGACCACCGGUAGCGAAGGCGUCUGACCAGACCAGGUCCGACGGUGAGGGACGAAGGCUAGGGGCGCGAACCGGAUUAGAUACCCGUGUAGU
rnacentral:rRNA from 1 species